rnacentral:rRNA from 1 species
UACGUAGGGGGGCAAGCGUUGUCCGGAAUCAUUGGGCGUAAAGGGCGCGUAGGCGGCUUGACAAGUCCAAGGUGAAAUCCCUCGGCUCAACCGAGGAACUGCCUUGGAAACUGUCUGGCUUGAGGCCGGGAGAGGGUAGUGGAAUUCCCAGUGUAGCGGUGAAAUGCGUAGAUAUUGGGAGGAACACCGGUGGCGAAGGCGGCUACCUGGACCGGAUCUGACGCUGAUGCGCGAAAGCGUGGGGAGCAAACAGG